GAAAAAAUCUCACAGGUUGAGUUGCAUUUAUCUAAAGCCAACAGCAAUAUUUUUAUGUUCAUUAAUGACAUGUCAGCAGGCUGGCCAACUAGCAGACAGACAGACAUUUAAAAAUUAACAACUUUUUUUUUUUACAUCGAUUUAUUGUUUCUGAAGGGACACAUUGAAGUUUGCAUUUUGGAUUUAUCGCUAAAUGUUGUUUUGGUAGUUUGUUCGUGAGAUACUCACAUCAGUCAAGCAGACAAUUUCCCAAAGACUGUCUGUUAAACCAUAUAUUGACAGAAAAGAUGGAGGCAGGUCAUUUCUCCUCUCCUCUGACUGUACUGACCGUAUAAUCCACUCUCAAUGCACUGUCAAAGAUGAUAGAAAAUUCCACUUAUCUGACUCUUUUAACUAUUAUCCUUGGCUGAACCUUUUGCACACAAAAAGGACAGUGCCUUUUAGUGCUAGACAGUCCCAAAUGGAGAAAGCUGUUGUAACUUUUACCAUUCACCCUUAUUUAUCUUUCCUCUGUUACAGUAUAAACUGCUGCAAAUCAUAGGCAUAGCUCUUACAUGGUUACAAGACAAGAAUCAACAGUACAAAUGCAUCUCUUAAAUACAGUCUGUGAACUUAUAACAGACAAGUUAUUUUGACCAUGAUUGUGACUGUCUUGCUAUGGCGUUUAUGACUGGCUAACAGCUAGCUGUUAGCUUUCCAGUUACAGUAGUUCAGCAGGCAGUCUUGCUAGGUAGCUUUCCAAUCGAGGAACUCAGGGCAGGGUCAAGGUGGUGCAAACAUUUAAAGGAAAGGACACAGAAUCACACCUUUCAAUCUUUAUGUUAACAUUUCAGUGUAAGAUUCAACAGUUUGCAGUGUUAACUGAGAGUGCGCCAAACCAACAGCAAAUAUGUCAUAAUUAGUGGGCGUACUCAAAUAGAGCAAUGGAGGUUCAUCAUGUACACUGUAUGGUAAAUUUUAUGCUCUUAAUGGCGAAGUUUGAGAGAAGAAGGCUGCAAUUCAAUUCAACACUGAGAGACCAGAAAAACUGUUGUCCUGUCUGAGUUUGACGAAAUGAUACUAGUGCAAGUGCCACUUUCUGAUCUGCCUGAAUGCGGGGCUACAUUCUUCUUAGUCAAUUGAAUGCAGUUAGAUUUUCAUAAGCCAUUUGGUGUUGCUUUGAAGGUCAGCUGGCCUAAGUAGCUGACUUAACAUGGUAAUCAAAUAUGCCUACAUUUAACAAUCAUUAUCAGACCUAGAAUCUUACAUGUCACCAUUUUUGUCCAAAGUGUUUUUUGGCCUUGUCUCUUAACAUUUAACUCAACCAAUGAGGUUAUUUCUGCCUCUAGAACAUAGGCUUCUACAUCUAAGGAAUGUUGCAAAGCUCAACUAUUAACUGUUGUUUCACUUGCCCAUCUACUCCAUCCUAUCACCAAGCACUUUGUUCACGAAUCUGCUUUGAUUAUUAUUCCGGCCUCAUGAUGCUUCUUGUAUCUUUACCAUUGAUGUUGUUUUGUGGAAUGUGUUGAAUAUAUUAUGAACUCCAAAAAACAAUGUACACAAGUUUCUAAGCUUGAGAUUUUUUAUAUCGAGAUGAAUUGACAGUAUAUCUUUUUCAUGCAUCUUUUUCAAUUUCUGUAUAAAAGUAUGCAGCUUUUGUCAUUUUAGUAACAUUUGCAUAACCACUACAUUUAUUGUAAAUUUUGUAUUUGAACAUUUUCAUUUCAACAAAUGUGACCAGUUAAGCAAAUACCAAAGGUGUACCCCACCACUAACAUUACCAUCUUCCAUUAAAAAUCUGAAAGGUGUUUAGCUUAUUAGCUUUGAAUAAAUGAGCAAUGAAUGGCAGUUCUCUGUGAGGCACAUAAUGGGAAUUGUAAGCUUUAAGACUUUACAGAACUGUAUAGUGUUGUUUCGGUCUUGUUUGCCAUUCGUGAUUUAUAUCCACAAUGUUUUGCUCAUUCUUGAAUCAGGAGGAUUUUUUUAAGUUUAUUAAUGAGGGUAAUGUCAAUUGCCAUACAGUAAUUUUCUUCAAGUCUUUACACAGAAACAAUGUAAUGUAACACAGCACUUGAAACCAGUUGUGCAUGUGUCUGUGCUAUGCAAUAAAAUUUCCAUUAUAAAAGUCUGCGAGCCUCCUCAAUGACUCCACAGUGACCCACUAUAUGCUGUGGGAUUGCAGGACUUGCCUUGCCCAUCUCAUGUUGAUGGGAUGAUGACCAGUGACUCAGAUAUUCUGAUUUGUGGAAAACAACACUCAUGAGUUGUGUUUAGCUCUGGGAUGAAGGUUGCCAUGCUUUCCUUGAUCUGAAUCCAGAAAUACACAGGAGCAGCCCUGGGUCAUGGUCAUAAGGGCAUGACUGCUGGCAUCUUGGAUGGAGAUUCGAAAAUCUCCAACUUCGGCUCCAAGUCUUGUAAUUCUGUAGGGAGACACAGAAACAAAUCAAGAGCUCAG
ensembl:lncRNA